CCAACGGCCCUCUUUAGGGCCACAUUCGAGUAAACCAAUCUUGUCCU
rfam:Toxocara canis scaffold45, whole genome shotgun sequence.